rnacentral:rRNA from 1 species
ACGCUCGACACCUACGGGAGCAGCAGUGGGGAAUAUUGCACAAUGGGGGAAACCCUGAUGCAGCGACGCCGCGUGAAGGAAGAAGUAUUUCGGUAUGUAAACUUCUAUCAGCAGGGAAGAAGAUGACGGUACCUGAGUAAGAAGCACCGGCUAAAUACGCGCCAGCAGCCGCGGUAAUCUGAGCGGGCUGGCAAGGC